rnacentral:lncRNA from 1 species
GCGAACGAACCGGCCCCGCCGUAGGUUGUUUUUAGGGCGAGUGGUCAUUCAUGGUAGAGGUUAAAUUUGUUUAUGUUUUAUUUUUAAAUCAGAAUUAUAGGUUCAUGGCUUCCAACAGAUUUAAGAAUCUGCUGUUAAUUAUCCCACACUUUUGGUGUUAAGGAACUCUCGAUUAAGAGACCAAAUAUAAAUGCUGAUAAUAAAAGAGAUAAAACAGGCAAAUAAAAUUUUAUUAAUAUGAUCUGCUGUGUACAUGGCUUAAGCAGGGGCAUACCCCCACUGUAUAUGAAUAUUUUAAUUUAGUCAAUCGGUGGUCGAUUGAAGUUUUGAUGACAUGGCGGUCGGGUUCACCUUGGUUGUAUAUUCCAAGGUGGAGAUGUGACUAGAUCUCAAGUAUAUGCAUUGAGGUGGGUCGAACUAGAUCCUAAAUAUAUGUGUUAAGACCUAGUCGAUAUUAAACUCUGUAUUAUAGUCUAAUUGGCUCUAAGUAUAUGUCUUAGAGUCCGAUUAUAUUCACAUUGGUUGUAUAUUUCAGGGUGGAGAUGUGACCAGACCUCAAGUAUAUGUAUUGAGGUGGGUCGAAUUUGAUAUUAUCCGAGAGUGG